UACAGAGGUCUCAAGCGUUGUUCGGAUUUAUUGGGCGUAAAGAGCUCGUAGGCGGCUUAGUAAGUCGGGUGUGAAACCGCCAGGCUCAACCUGGAGACGCCACCCGAUACUGCUGUGGCUAGAGUCCGGUAGGGGAGCGUGGAAUUCCUGGUGUAGCGGUGAAAUGCGCAGAUAUCAGGAGGAACACCAGCGGCGAAGGCGGCGCUCUGGGCCGGUACUGACGCUGAGGAGCGAAAGCGUGGGGAGCAAACAGG
rnacentral:rRNA from 1 species